rnacentral:lncRNA from 1 species
UGUAGUGUAGUUGGAAGCAAAUGUGGUGGACGUUUUGUUAGUUGUUAGGACUCUAAUCCUGAUAACUUUCUCAGACUUGAGAAAGAGAAGGAAAGAGCACUCAAACAAACACACACACUCUCUCUCUCUCCUUUACAUAUCUCACGUCUCAUCACUCUUUCCUUUUUUCAUAUGUUUCUACUCAUCAAGCUUUCAACUGCAACUCACGCGCCUGCAACUUUCUUACUUACUUUGUCCUUCUUUUUUCUGUUUUUUUCUAUGUCAAAAAUAGACCCUUCAUCCCCAUCACUUUGUUUCUGUACCAUACCAUCCACUCCGGGGGUAAAAUAAAAUCUAACAGCAAAUGCUUUGUUUCUCACUCAUGUUUUAUUCAACAUGUUAGAAACCAGUUCAAAACAUUUUCUGGUUAUAAAACAAAACUCUUCCACUGAC